AUACGUAGGUGGCAAGCGUUGUCCGGAAUUAUUGGGCGUAAAGCGCGCGCAGGUGGUUCCUUGAGUCUGAUGUGAAAGCCCACGGCUCAAACCGUGGAGGGUCAUUGGAAACUGGGGAACUUGAGUGCAGAAGAGGAAAGUGGAAUCCCAAGUGUAGCGGUGAAAUGCGUAGAGAUUUGGAGGAACACCAGUGGCGAAGGCGACUUUCUGGUCUGUAACUGACACUGAGGCGCGAAAGCGUGGGGAGC
rnacentral:rRNA from 1 species